CUUUCCUCUCCCGUUUCUUCUCAAUUCUUCCUUUUCUCUUCUCUGCUAGUUUCAAAUUCAGAUUUUACGUUUGUUUGUGUGAGCGAUUCAUCAUAAGCUUGGUUAAUUAUCGAUUGAAGACGAAGGUAAUGGUGCGGAAGUUGUUUAGUCACAGGAAGAAGCAGAAAAACGGGUAGAAAGAGUUGUAUAAGGUUUAAUUUGGUUUCUUUAGGUAAUUGAGUUUCAGGUUAGGGUUUAGAUGAAUUGAAAAUUAGGGUUCUUGAAAAUUGGGGAAGCUGCAGAUGUUGAAGAUGGAAUGAAUUCAGGUGAUUGUAGUUAAAUUACUGAAUUUAGGAUUCUAGAAAGAAGCAGGGUUUGUGAUUUAGGUUUGAUCAAUUGUAAAAAUCAAUUAUGGAGUUCAACGAAAUCCGGUUCAAGGGUGGUCUGAGAAUUCAGAUUAUUAUGUUGGUAGUGAUUCUGUGAAGCUGGAGGGGUUAUGAUUGAAGUUGAACUAUAGCUGGAGAUGGUAUUUCCUGUGUGUUUGUAACUGCAGGUGGUGAACCGAAUUGGGGGUUUGGUUGGGUUGUAGAUAGUCUGAGAUGCAAGAUGAGGUGAUGUUGAGCCGGUCCUGUUGGUGGCUGUAAUUGAGUAGGGUGAUGUUAUACUGUACAAGGAGAAGAACUUAGCUGAAGUUGAGGUUACAAAAGGAGCAAAGGUUAUGCAGUGCUCAAGUGAUGCAGGUGGAAUGAGAAAGAGAGGUUGAGGUGGUUUGAAUGGAAAUAUCAAGUGAAGUCUGGUGGUAGUACUGAGUUAGGAAUGGAUUGAAGUUUAAAUGAAUAUGGAUUGCUGGAAUUGACUAUUAUUUCAGCUGAAGUUACUGAAUGCCAUUGCAGUGAGUGAAUGAAGUUAAAGAAUGAAAUUAGUGGACUGUUGGCGAGUUGUGUUAAGUGUUGAAGCAUUGAACUUGAAUGGAUAUGAGAUGUAGGUGGAGCAGUAAAUAGUGGUUAUGUUAAUGGCUGGCUAUGAAUGUAUGAUUUUGUGUAAGAGAUUGAAAUGAGAACAACUGCAGGUACAAGUGGGUUAUGCUCAGAUUAUGAAGCUAUAUAUGGAUGUGAAGGAUAUGUUAUCUAGAGCUAGCAAUUACAGAGUGUAAUGUUUGAUAAAAACAAGACUUUGGAGAUGGAAGUUUGUUGUAACUUAUAGACUGUGUAUAGUUAGAAUGUUGUAGAGAUUGUGUAUUUGUAAUUGUGUUUUGAUUGUGCAUUUGAGUAGUGACCAGUGCAAGAAUAUUGACCAUGUUGACUUUGAAUAUGAUGACCGUUGACCAGACUUUGACUCUGGACUUGACAGUAGAUUGACAUUGACUGUUAAUUGACCUCUUUGACUGUUAUUGACCGUCAUUUGACUUAGGUGGACUGGGCCUUAGGUUAAUGGGUUUGUUUAGUGUACUUUGUCUUAGGACUAUUUUCCGAGAUUGAUGUUUUGGACCUUUUAUGGUCCGAAUGGACCUUUGGUUCCUUCUACAAAGUUGUAGAUAUUCAUAAGACCUAUCAAAUGGACUAUAGAACCAACCUAAUCGGGUUAGUAAAACAUUAGAAGUGUUAAAGAUAGAUAUUAAAAAGGUGUAGAACCAUAAAUGGAUUUAGAACCAUUAGAUAGUUCACUUAACUUAUAACUAGAGACUUGUAUGAGAUUGUGUUAUGAGCUAUGUGUGAGCCUUCUGGCUAAUCUCUUAGUGUACUUGUGUGAUUAACAAUUAGUCUUUAUUAACAACGAUCGAUUCAAAGGACAUAUCAGUGGAUUGUAGAUAUCGAGGUAGGCAAGGCUUGUCAUCAAAUCAGGUGGGAACUUUAUAACCUUCUUGUAAUCAUUGAGUUUUCUUUCUUUUGCGAGCAUGAUGUGCUUUUACUAUCUAUACGAAUUUAUAGUGUAAUUGCAUUGAACGAUGUUUGUUUUGAAUGUAAUUGUAUGUGUGUAAUAUGCGUUGUGUAGAUUUUCCCGCGAAGAGUGUCUGUGUAUGCCCACGGCUCUUAGCUAAGUUAAGUAGGGCGGUACAUCAUCCGUCGGCAAUAGUAUUACGUUUCCUGUUUAUAUUGAUAGUAGGGAGGUACGCCAUCCGUCGGCAAUAGUACUACAUUUCUACUUAUUAAGAUAGUAGGGCGGUACGCCAUCCGUCGGAAAUAAUAUCUAGUAGGACGGUACGCCAUCCGUCGACAAUAAUAUAUAUACUAUUUUAUUUAAGGGAAAUCACUCGUGUGCGUAAUGCUUGACUAACUUUCUGAUCUUGAUGGUAAUAUUCUGAACCAUGGUUUGUAUGGGCACUCUGUAUGGACGAAGUUGUUAUUAUUAUUGAUUAGGGUUGCUCUCGCAUCGUAUUCUCCAAUGAGUUUGGCGAGGUUAGAGUGACAAUUGCUUCAUGAUGUGUAAAUAGAUGAAUGAUUCUUUUCGCCAUUGAUUCUUUUAAAUUACGGUUUUUAUAUUC